rnacentral:rRNA from 1 species
GGACGAACGCUGGCGGUGUGCUUCACACAUGCAAGUCGAACGAGGUAGCAAUACCUAGUGGCGGACGGGUGAGUAACGCGUGGGAAUCUGCCUUUAGAUGGGGGAUAACGGGCCGAAAGACUCGCUAAUACCGCAUAUGACGAAAGUUGAAAGGAGUAAUCCGUCUAAAGAUGAGCCCGCGUCCGAUUAGCUAGUUGGUAGAGUAAAAGCCUACCAAGGCGACGAUCGGUAGCUGGUCUGAGAGGAUGAUCAGCCACAAUGGGACUGAGACACGGCCCAUACUCCUACGGGAGGCAGCAGUGGGGAAUUUUACGCAAUGGGCGAAAGCCUGACGUAGCGACACCGCGUGAGCGAAGAAGCCCCUUGGGGUGUAAAGCUCUGUCAGCUGGAACGAAAAAAUGACGGUACCAGCAGAGGAAGCAUCGGCUAACUACGUG